GACGAACCGUGCGAACGUUUUUCGGAAUCACUGGGCUUAAAGGGCGCGUAGGCGGGCCAUCUAGUCCGGGGUGAAAUCCUCCGGCUUAACCGGAGAAUUGCCUUGGAUACUGGUGGUCUUGAGGGAAGUAGGGGUCUGCGGAACUUCCGGUGGAGCGGUGAAAUGUGUUGAUAUCGGAAGGAACGCCGGUGGCGAAAGCGGCGGACUGGGCUUCUUCUGACGCUGAGGCGCGAAAGCUAGGGGAGCAAACGGG
rnacentral:rRNA from 1 species